UUCCAGCACUUUCUCUGGCUCCAACACUUUGAUUCAAUAUUGAAAGCCAUAUCCUUGCACUGCUGCUGAGCAGAUUUGAAGGCCAAAGACCUAAAGCCCACACCUCCCUGCACAACUGGAGCCUGAUUUUCAGACCUGUAAUUAGCACCGGGUAGCCUCUUGACACACAACUUGAAACACGUAUUUUCUCAUUUACUGGUUAAACUCACUCAGGCUGACUAUUUUCAGUGAUACAAGCAUGUACAUCCCAUGACUAGUCUUACGGAUUUGCUCCAGAUUGUGCUAAUUACUAUUCCAGGUGGCUAUGAGUUAAUUAGGAAGCUAUGUGUUUCAGUGUGCACGGUAGCCAUACAUAAAUAAAUCAUUAUUGAACGCAGAGUGCACAGAUAUUUGAUGUGGCAGAUAUCCUUUGACUUGCACAGGACAGCUGAAAUGCAUGUAUUAUUAUUGACCACAUGCAUUUUAUUUUUACAUUAAUUGGCCUCAUCUGGGUUGGGGUUUUGGAGGUCUGAGGGUAAGAGGCUUAAUCUGGAGUCAUCGGUUGUUAUGCAUCAUGGCCCAAAUUUUAUUUCUUUAGGUUUCAGGCCAGCCUGUAAUGUGUGAGGUACGACCUUCCCUCAGAUGCUAAAAGGGUGCUGUGCCUGCCUGGGUUUGGACAUCUGGCAAGGACGAUAAAAAGCCAGCAAGGCCUUCCAUUGGGGCAUUUUGGCACGUCCAGCUCUGUGGCCACCUGCUUUGCUGCAUUCAGGAGCUCCCACUGGCUGAGCAGAUCCACACCACAUCAGUGACAUCCAUCCUGUCCCAACAGACAGGUCCCCAUGACCACAGAGGUAUGUUUCUGAAGUGCUACCAAGGGUUUUGUGGUGUUAAAUUCUGUUUUGCUAAUGUAUUUACUGAACCAAUGCCCGCACAGCUUCCUGAAAGGCAGACUGGGACUGCUAGCAUGGUCUGUAAUUUCAGCAGUGCUUCUGAGCCUUCUGACUGAGCCUGUUCUCUCACCAGAGUCACCAUUUACUUCAGCACAUUUUUAAAAUUUUAAUUCCUGCCCUCCCCCACGCAUGCACGCAGACCUCACAGAGAUUUUCAUGCAUUUAAAUGAAAAAGCUGAACAGUUCCCUUUUCUCGUUCACAUUAUGCAGCAUUGCCCUUCUCUGUACUUUAUCCUAUUUCAGAGCUGUCAUGCAAAUGAACCCAAAUUAAAAAAAAAAAAAAAUCAUUAAAGUAGUAUGUAUCCUAUCAGCCUUCUGUCUUGGCUCCUUCUCUUCCUGUAUGUGUAGGGAGAAAUCCCUUCUCCUGCUUGCCCUUCUCUUUCAGGUGUUUUGACUUUUUUUUCUAACUAAUCCAAUAACUUUGUGGCUCCCCCAAAUGCUCUGGUCUGCCACGGUUGUCCAAUAAGCCUCUGUGCCCUUCACCUCCCCACACACAUAGUAUUUACUACUCCAGGACUACAGAACUCUUGUUUUCUAAAGCUUUUUUCAUGUUUUCUUCCUCAACUACAGCAGAAUAAAAAAUUAUCCUUUUCUGUAAAACCUGUCCUG
rnacentral:lncRNA from 1 species